rnacentral:rRNA from 1 species
UACGUAGGGUGCAAGCGUUGUCCGGAAUUAUUGGGCGUAAAGAGCUCGUAGGCGGUCUGUCACGUCGGCUGUGAAAACCCAGGGCUCAACCCUGGGCCUGCAGUCGAUACGGGCAGACUAGAGUCCGGCAGGGGAGACUGGAAUUCCUGGUGUAGCGGUGAAAUGCGCAGAUAUCAGGAGGAACACCGGUGGCGAAGGCGGGUCUCUGGGCCGGAACUGACGCUGAGGAGCGAAAGCGUGGGGAGCGAACAGG